UCUGAAUUAGGAAGUAGAGCAGCCAUCUGUAAGCUACGACAAUAUUUGUGAACGGAAGAGGGCAGCCACAUGGAUUUUUUUCCCCCUUUCCCUUUACUGCAAAGCCUACAAAUCUGCUCCCUGGAAUGAAACGAUCUCUGAAGAAAGGCAACGGCUCGAUGUUGUUUACUUUGAACAUUUUUUCCCUUGCAAAAGUAACAAGCGGGAUUUGUGCGUGCGUGUGUGUGCGUGCGCCAGAGUCAAGUUUCCAUGAAAUUCCUGCACUUGGAGCAUUUUAAUAUUAACAAUAAAAGCAACGAUCCAGGGGGACUCAAUCUGACUUGCACGGCAGAUUUAAGGUGGCAAUUUGUUUACAACUUUCAUUUUUCCUCCAGCCGCUGGGGGUAAACAUUACAAACUUUCUCUACUACAGGAUUUCUCUCUUAAGGAAACCGCCACUCCACACUUAUUGGAAAACGUAACAAAGCAAAACUUCGGCCAAAAAGAAGGGAACCAUUGAAACUUUUUCCCCUGUUACAGCCUGGUGUUAUAGAAGUUGAACGGCACUACAGAGGGAUGGAGAGAAGCAAAGGAAAGAAAGAGGCAAGAGACUAGGGAGAGAGAGGAGAAUGACCCACAAAGCAAAACGCCGUGAAACUGUCCCGGAUGACUACAUUCUCUGUUCAUGUCUAAGACCCAAUAGGGAAACAGAAGUGUGAGGAUAUACUGAUUGUUUGCAGUAUUGUAUCCUGGGAACCAGCAUGGAUAUGAGAGAGACAAGGUGAAAGGCAAAGUAUGAUCUCUUAUGGACAAAAUUCUGCCCUUGUGACUGUGAAGGCUCCUUUCAUAGUGGAACCAGGCUGGCUCAACUGCACAAGAAGAGGAGAAGGAAGGAUUCCAGUCAGCCCUACGAGGUACAACGAUAACCCCAUCUAGUAUGGAGCUCAGCUCUGUGGGCCCCACUGGGCAACAAUGUGCAGAGCAAUAGCCCCUGCUGUAUGGAUUAUUCACCAGGAGGAAACUAAUCUUCUCUUCAUCUGCCAAUCAGGACUCAACAGUGUUCCAAGAAUUCCACAAGAUGACACUCUUAGCAAAAUAAGAGGUUCAGAACAUUGGGAGAAUCCUCCAUGCUGACUGGCUGGAGAGGGAGUCAUGAUUUAGGAGAGUUUCACAUUGGUCUGGAACGGUGACUGAGAUUUCAGCACCUGUGCCAUAACAGCCCCAUUUUUUCCUCUUUCAUUUUGAAAUAAACUGUUGACCUAUAAACUGAGCAAAACUGACACGGAAGUUAUAUAUGUACCACCAGGGAGUCAUUUUUAACUCUUGCUCCUUAAUAAAAGUCUUUCUGGAGCUGGCUGUUUUAAGUGGAAGGAAAAGUAUAAAGUGCAUUGACUAAGAAAGCCGUCAUAACUAGAAUUCCUUUUACCUCAAUUUAAAUUACUGCAGAAAGUAGAAACUCCCCUUGCA